rnacentral:rRNA from 1 species
UACGUAGGGGGCAAGCGUUGUCCGGAUUUAUUGGGCGUAAAGAGCGUGUAGGCGGCCAGACAAGUCUGCUGUGAAAACUCGAGGCUCAACCUCGAGCUGUCGGUGGAAACUGUCUGGCUAGAGUCCGGAAGAGGAGAGUGGAAUUCCUGGUGUAGCGGUGAAAUGCGCAGAUAUCAGGAAGAACACCAAUGGCGGAGGCAGCUCGCUGGGACGUGACUGACGCUGAGACGCGAAAGCGUGGGGAGCAAACAGG